rnacentral:misc_RNA from 1 species
UCCUUCUUAUCGAAGGCAGUUUCUCAAAAGUGCAUCCCUUGCGGGAUUAGCAACAUGAGAUAGGGGUUGCGCUCGUUGCGGGACUUAACCCAACAUCUCACGACACGAGCUGACGACAACCAUGCAGCACCUCUGCUGGCUUCCUUGCGGAUCAGUCCAUGUUUCCAAAGACUUACUACCAGUAGUUCAAGCCCAGGUAAGGUUCUUCGCGUUGCGUCGAAUUAAACCACAUGCUCCACCGCUUGUGCGGGCCCCCGUCAAUUCCUUUGAGUUUCAGCCUUGCGGCCGUACUCCCCAGGCGGGGCACUUACUGCGUUAGCGACGGCACCGGGAGGGUCGCUCCCCCCGACGCCUAGUGCCCAUCGUUUACGGCGUGGACUAC